GAUAAACGCUGGCGGUAUGCCUAAGACAUGCAAGUCGAACGGGACUAUCAGAGUAGCAAUAUGAUGAUGGUUCAGUGGCGAACGGGUGCGUAACACGUGGAUACAUUCCGGGAAGCGGGGGAUAGCCCAGGGAAACUUGGAUUAAUACCGCAUGUGAUCGAAAGAUCAAAGACGGGGACCGCAAGGCCUGUCACUUCCCGAUUGGUCCGCGGCCUAUCAGCUAGUUGGCGGGGUAAAAGCCCACCAAGGCGACGACGGGUAGCUGGUCUGAGAAGACGACCAGACACAAUGGAAGUGAGAGACGGUCCAGACACCUACGGGUGGCAGCAGUCGAGAAUCGUUCACAAUGGGUGCAACCCUGAUGGAGCGACGCCGCGUGGAGGAUAAGGUCUUCGGAUUGUAAACGCCUGUCAUGCGUGAACAAGAUUGCCGGGCUAAUAACUCGAGCAAGUUGAUGGUAACGCAAGAGGAAGAGACGGCUAACUCUGUGCCAGCCGCCGCAGUAA
rnacentral:rRNA from 1 species